GAGAGGGAGGUUCGAAUUCAGCCCUAGAAUUGAGUGGAAGAAGGAGGGGAAGAUUUGGUUGAUGAUAUCCAAUGAGUGUUGGAGAGAGACAUGAUGUUGAAGGGCCCAGUGGGACAAACUCCAUUAUUUAUCAAUAAAUGGGUGCAACCAUGUGAAUGCUGGUGGGGAAUGUUGGUAGUAAGUGAUGGAAUGUUGGGGCAUAUUUUAUACCUGGUUGAAUAAUAUUUGAGAUGUACCUAUUUUUGUGUAUCUCAUAUUUAUCGUAUAUCUAAAAAUAAUAAUAAAAUAUUUGAGGAAAAAAAUUAAUUUAUCAUAUGAUAAAUUAUGAUUUAAAAUUUUAAUGAAAUACAUAAAGAUGGGUAUGUUUGAGA